GAAAGCCGUGUGCAAUGAAAAAUACAAGCAUGGUUUAGGGAGGGGUUUUUUGUUUUUUCUUUUUUGACAAGGAAAUUAUCUACUCCAU
rfam:Beta vulgaris subsp. vulgaris Bvchr5.sca009.con0100.1, whole genome shotgun sequence.